CUUUAUAUGUGGAUAUAAUUUUUUAAAACUUUAUUUAAUUGUAAAAUUAUAUAAAAUAUUUGGCUGGGGCGGCAAUUAGAAAAUUUUUAUUAACUCUUUAUAAAUAAAACAUAGGUAAGUGGAAUAAUAGAUCUUUAAGUUAGGAUUAAAAGAAAAGUU
rnacentral:rRNA from 1 species